GGUUGCAAAGACAACGAGCGAACUGUCGAAUUCGGUGCUUCGCGGCUGCUGCCGAUACCUCGACCAUCGAACGUCACAGCCGAGCGAAUGUCUCGUUAGCACGACGACUUGUCUCUCGAUAUUCGUUGCGGGGGGUUCGAGGCAGCGUCGGCGGACCGGUCUCACCGUUUCGAAUGUUUGGUGUGUCGGGAAUCGGUGCCUCGCCGGGCCUUUGUGUUUCGGCUUCCCACGCGUUCGCUUCGGUUUGUCGCAGACAUGCGGGGAUGGCGCAUCGAGGAUCCAGUUCACACCUCCGCCACAGGGGUGCAUCCGGCCCGUUGCACCGUGCCCCUCCCGCGCGGGGCUUCCGUUUGACGACCGUCAGCGGAGGCGCGGCGCGUGGGGCCGGUUCGGUUCCGUCGGAUCCCUCGGCCUCGCUCCCUCGAUGUCUCGUCCAUGCGGACGGCGGCCUCGCGGACCCGGUCGGGACCGUUGAGUAUUUCGGUCCGCUGCGUGGCCGGCAUCGUCGGGGGCAGGCUCACGGAUGGACACAUGAGCGUCGGUGUUACGGGCACCAAGGACAGAAAGGGAGUGUCGCCCGGGCUCUGUUCGACGGGGAACGGGCGGCGCUGCACCGAAAAGCACGACUCUCGGCAACGGAUAUCUCGGCUCUCGC
rnacentral:rRNA from 1 species